ensembl:lncRNA
GUGCCUGCCGCGUCCUUCACACUGAUCUGUGUUGCUUUUCAUCAGUUCUCUUCAAUAGUGCUGCGUGAGAGCCACCACAGAUAUAUCAUCAAACCCAUCUGCAAUGAGCCCAGACUAACUCCUUGCCAGAAGAUACCUUGCAUGGAGCAUCUGGAACACCAGAUUCCUCCUUUGCUGCCAUAAGGGUGGUUAUAUUAAGGGAAGUAGCAAGCAAGAAACAAGCAAUCUGUGGCUGACUUUUGAAGAUGUAAUGCUGAACAAUAAGGCACCUUUACCAUCCAUAUAGGCUGUUACUAAAACAAGACAGCUACCACAAAAUGGAUUUUGAUAUUCUGUAUGAGCUCAGUACACAUCUACUGCAAAAGUCUCAUCUGUGUAUCCUGAAUUGCUCCUGAAGAUAUGGAGUAGAGUUUUGAAUGGCAUUUAUAUCACUCCUUCCAAGAAGACCAUCAGAUAACAGACAGCAGUAAAUUUCCUUCACUUGAAAUGGGGUUCAAUCAAACUAAAUGUACACAGCUCUUUAUUUACAACUGAACUACUCAUUCCAGGCUUCUCUACAGGAGGCCUCAACACAUUGAGCACGUGAGUAUUCUUACCACCAGUGUUUUCUGGUUAUCUAACUUCCUUUAUGUGAUUUUUACCCAUGUAUUGUUAAAAAGUUACUUGUAUUUUUUAACAUGUAGUAUUUAAGUAUUACGAUUUAUCGGUGGGUUUAAAGAAGCCUCCCAGGAAUGCACUUCAUACCUGUUGUCCAUUCCUGGAGUGCUUCUGGAUCAAAGCAGAGGACCAAAGCCCCAAGGACCAUUGAGAGUGACUGAACACGGAAAAUUAUUCAAAAGAUCUCCACAUCUAAACAAAACUCACAGUUCAAUCUCAUCUCUCAUUUUGGCACCGGUUGCAUACAUGAUCCUGGACAUUUACUUCUCAUAUGAAGACUGAACCCCUGUGGACAAUUUCAGCAAUCUUGUCCUUCCACUUCAGCAAUGUUCUAAGAUCCAUUGGCUUCAGCAGGAGCUUUUCAGCCAUCUUUCAAUUGAGGUUUUAAUCAGAUCCUCAGUGAAUACGAAUCAAAUACAGAAGAAAACUGUUUCUUAGGACAUUUUCUGUCAUGAUUCUCCAUUUACCGUUACAUUUCGUGAUGAUAGCCUCUUCAGCUUUUCUCUCAGCAAUUACUUUAGAUCAGCGGAAAAAUCUGUUUCUGUUGUUAGUAAAAACACAUUUAAGACAUCUUUCUGCAAUCUAGACUGCUGUUCCCAGCUGCAAAGUAUGAAUUAUGCAUGCUUCUUGUCUUCUUAGAGUAUGAAAAAAACACCCUACUAUAGUCUUGAAUUAAUGAUUCUAAUGUUAUGCUAAAUGUUCACAGUUUAUUAUUCCAAUAAAUAUGGCAAUCUAGUGAUAUUUACACAUUCAUAAUGGGUUGUUAAUAAUGAUACAAUAUGCU